rnacentral:rRNA from 1 species
CAGCCGCCGCGGGAAUACGUAGGGUGCAAGCGUUAAUCGGAAUUACUGGGCGUAAAGCGUGCGCAGGCGGUUUGUUAAGACAGAUGUGAAAUCCCCGGGCUCAACCUGGGAACUGCAUUUGUGACUGGCAAGCUAGAGUGUGGCAGAGGGGGGUGGAAUUCCGCGUGUAGCAGUGAAAUGCGUAGAUAUGCGGAGGAACACCGAUGGCGAAGGCAGCCCCCUGGGCCAACACUGACGCUCAUGCACGAAAGCGUGGGGAGCAAACAGGAUUAGAUACCCGUGUAGUCCCUGUCUCUUAUAC